UACGUAGGGUGCAAGCGUUGUCCGGAAUUAUUGGGCGUAAAGAGCUCGUAGGUGGUUUGUCGCGUUGUCCGUGAAAACUCACAGCUUAACUGUGGGCGUGCGGGCGAUACGGGCAUCACUGGAGUUCGGCAGGGGAGACUGGAAUUCCUGGUGUAGCGGUGAAAUGCGCAGAUAUCAGGAGGAACACCGGUGGCGAAGGCGGGUCUCUGGGCCGAUACUGACGUGAGGAGCGAAAGCGUGGGGAGCGAACAGG
rnacentral:rRNA from 1 species